GUGACAGCUCUGGGGGAAAAAAUCUGUUUUAUCCAUAGGCUAUGUGCUGCCACAAUGCAAGUUUCCUCCCCUCACUGCCUUACCAAUAGGCUUCUAGCUUGUCCAGGAGGGACAACUUCUAAGGGCGAAACCAAUUCAUUCUCUCCACAGCCUAUUCAGUCCCUGGCCUCU
rnacentral:sRNA from 1 species